rnacentral:lncRNA from 1 species
GAAACUCCACCUAAGCUGGAAGAGACUUGAGCUUGCAAGUGAAAUAAGCCAGAGAAUUUUGAAGAUAUAAAAAGGACCCUUUGCCUACCAGCCCCCAGCAUGCUGUGACGAUCCUGCCCCAGUAUUGGACACCUGAGGAGGCGUUCCCUCUCCUAUUCCUCCAACUGGCUCUUGUCCUGCUCUCAUCCCACCUUUUCUUUGAAGUCUCCUGCCACUCUAUCCCACUGUCACCUUGCCCUUCUUCACCUCCUGUAUCUUCCUGUCUAUGUUACUACCUAGGCAGAGCUCUCUAGCUUCUGAAGGUUCAUGGAUCAUAGAAUCCCAGGGCCAAGAGGGCCCUGGACAUCCUAUGUGUUUCAAAGGUCUUCCAAGCUCAGAGGGAGAAGUUGAGUUCCCUACGUGAUACUUCAGGGCCAUAGGUGGUAGAACUGGGAAGCGGUUCAGGAUGUGACUCCAAACGAGAAUGGCAUGAGACGCUUAGGCUUCUACAGCUCCUUCCUCACUCUACGCAGCCAGGUGAUUGUCUGCUCUGCCAGGGCACUGGGGCGAAUGUCUUCUCUGCAGAGGCUGACUGAAGAGGCCAGGGAAUUGGGGACUCAGUAUGGCAGA